GGAUAAGUCGGCUUGGAGGACUGAUGAGGAAUUUGCAAGAGAGAUGCUUGCUGGAAUAAACCCUGUCUGUAUUUGUGGCCUCAAAGAGUUUCCUCCAAUUAGUAAGCUGGACCCCAAAGUCUAUGGUAACCAAACUAGCAAAAUAAGCAGAGAACAUAUUCAAAAUCAGUUGGAUGGACUCACUAUAGAAGAGGUGAUCAAGGGGAAUCAGCUUUUCAUAUUGGAUCAUCAUGACACAUUAAUGCCAUAUAUGAGGCAGAUCAAUAUGACAAGUACAAAAAUUUAUGCCUCAAGAACUCUGUUCUUUCUACAAAAAGAUGGGACUUUGAAG
rnacentral:misc_RNA from 1 species